rnacentral:rRNA from 1 species
AGAGUUUGAUCCUGGCUCAGAACGAACGCUGGCGGCGCGCCUAAUACAUGCAAGUCGAGCGAGAAGGUGUAGCAAUACACUUGUAAAGCGGCGAACGGGUGAGGAAUACAUGGGUAAUCUACCAUCAAGUGGGGAAUAACCAACCGAAAGGUUGGCUAAUACCGCGUACGCCUCCGAGUCUUCGGGUUCGGAGGGAAAGCUGCACUGAGAGUGCAGCGCUCUUCGAUGAGCUCAUGUCCUAUCAGCUUGUUGGUAGGGUAACGGCCUACCAAGGCUUUGACGGGUAGCUGGUCUGAGAGGACGAUCAGCCACACUGGCACUGCGACACGGGCCAGACUCCUACGGGAGGCAGCAGUAAGGAAUAUUGCGCAAUGGGCGAAAGCCUGACGCAGCGACGCCGCGUGGGGGAUGAAGGUCUUCGGAUUGUAAACCCCUUUCGGGAGGGAAGAUGGAGCGAGCAAUCGUUCGGACGGUACCUCCAGAAGCAGCCACGGCCAACUUCGUGCCAGCAGCCGCGGUAAUACGAAGGUGGCAAGCGUUGUUCGGAUUCACUGGGCGUACAGGGUGUGUAGGCGGUUUGGUAAGCCUUCUGUUAAAGCUUCGGGCCCAACCCGGAAAGCGCAGAGGGUACUGCCAGGCUAGAGGGUGGGAGAGGAGCGCGGAAUUCCCGGUGUAGCGGUGAAAUGCGUAGAGAUCGGGAGGAAGGCC